rnacentral:rRNA from 1 species
CCGACCGGCGCACGGGUGAGUAACGCGUAUGCAACUUACCUAUCAGAGGGGAUAACCCGGCGAAAGUCGGACUAAUACCGCAUGAAGCAGGGGCCCCGCAUGGGGAUAUUUGCUAAAGAUUCAUCGCUGAUAGAUAGGCAUGCGUUCCAUUAGGCAGUUGGCGGGGUAACGGCCCACCAAACCGACGAUGGAUAGGGGUUCUGAGAGGAAGGUCCCCCACAUUGGUACUGAGAUACGGACCAA